GCUAACAUCCUUGUCUUGUUUCUGAUCUUAGGAGAUAGUAUUUCUUGUACAGUCUGAGUUCUCUGUUGUCUAAAAAUGUCUUCAGGUUUAAAGGCUU
rnacentral:pre_miRNA from 12 species